rnacentral:rRNA from 1 species
GACGAACGCUGGCGGCGUGCUUAACACAUGCAAGUCGAGCGGUAAGGCCCUUUCGGGGGUACACGAGCGGCGAACGGGUGAGUAACACGUGGGUGACCUGCCCUCAGCUCUGGGAUAAGCCUGGGAAACCGGGUCUAAUACUGGAUAUGACUCCAUGACGCAUGUUGUGGGGUGGAAAGCCUUGUGCGGCUGAGGAUGGGCCCGCGGCCUAUCAGCUUGUUGGUGGGGUGAGGCCUACCAAGGCGACGACGGGUAGCCGGCCUGAGAGGGCGACCGGCCACACUGGGACUGAGACACGGCCCAGACUCCUACGGGAGGCAGCAGUGGGGAAUCUUGCGCAAUGGGCGAAAGCCUGACGCAGCGACGCGCGUGAGGGAUGACGGCCUGG